GCAAUGCUGAUAGCAGCAGCAGCAGCAGCAGCAGAUCUACAAAAAAGUUGUUGUUGUUAAAAAAAAGAUAAAAAAGUAUAGUAAUAAUAAUAAUAUUACUUGUAAAUCGAUUUUUUGGUGCUG
rnacentral:rRNA from 14 species